rfam:TPA: Bos taurus chromosome X, whole genome shotgun sequence.
CCUGGUGGCUCAGAUGGUAAAGCGUCUGUCUACAAUGCAGGAGACCCAGGUUCGAUCCCUGGGUCAGGA